UGCUUGGAGAACGCACGACAAGAGGGAGAGAAGGCUGGGUUUAAGGGCCCACACGCGUUUAUCGAAGGAAUAAUGAUUACUGGGUAACUCUGUUGACAUUAACCAAAUUGGAACUGUACUUGCUUGGAGUCUACAACAGUAACGCUUGCUUGGUGUGCAACAACCGGUGGUGGUGAGUAUAACCAGGCCCUACCAGUCAACACCACCUCAUAAGAUGACGAAGUAAAUUGCCUGCUGCAGUUGUUCGAGAGAUGUCCAGGUUCAUGCAACACAGAAAAGACCAGCAAGGAUACCCUCAGAAUCACGCAGACAUGCCCUUCCUGUGAGCAUUCCUGUAAAUGGAACAGUGGGGACACUUGGAUCAGUAUCUUUGAGGGGCCAGGAGCUCAUCUACGCUGCCAUGCCCAUCAAUGGGGCGCUGGCAAAGAACUUACCUCCAGCCUCACUUCUUGCCUGCUUACUAACGGUCGUCAAUGGAGAGAUGCAUCUAUUGACCCAGCACUAGGAGACUUGCAAGAUGAUGUGAUGAAGUCCAGACUGACAUACGGGCUUCAUACUGAUGUCUCUAAAUGGAGAGAGACCUGGUACUUGGCAUGAACAUUUUACUAGACAUCUUUUACUUAUUUUCUUCUUUUUUUUUAAUUAUUGAAUGAAUGGUAUCAGUCAAUAUGGGGAGGGAGAAGCCCAGUGUAUUCUGCACCAGGAUCAGGUAACUCCUGGUGUAUACAGGACACCAUAUAUGUCUUGGUGGCGGCAAGGACACACCCAAGAAACACCCAUCAAACCACACCCCCAAGCGAAGUCACAUUUGGCUUCUGUCAUGGCCACCAGCAUUUCUUGAGCAAUUCAAAAAACUAGUCCAAAUCAGCGGGUGCAGUUCCCCUUUAAGUUCUCUCAUUAGUCAUUCAAUUCUAUGACCUAAUAUAUUUCUAAAACAGCCUAAAUUACAUUUACUUUAGGGGCCCAAAUGUAAUUUGAUUGUUAAAAAUGUCGAAGGGGAUUCUCGUGUUUUAUUAUUGUUCAAACUCGUUUUACAUCUUGAUACACACAGAGGCUGGGAGGCCUACUGUUGUGGGAGGCAGAAGGUGGCCACAUUUUGUGGCAGUCAGUUCUAUGACCACCAGACGGCAUGUGAGCUCUAUCAUUGUUUUUGUUUACCUGCUUGAUGAUGUACACUGAGUAUACCCCCCUACAAGGUGUCAAAAACGUUCCACAGGGAU